GGCGGAUGUAGCCAAGUGGAUCAAGGCAGUGGAUUUGUGAAUCCACCUGCCGCG
rnacentral:tRNA from 1 species